rnacentral:sRNA from 1 species
CUGAAUUGUUGACAUGAGUUGUUGCUGGCCCUCGGACUGGGGGCAUGUGCACACUCUGUUCACACAUCCAUUCACACCUGUGCACCCCUCAUAGUUCUGUGGCCUGGGGCUCUGUCCCCCUGCUGUAGUUCUAUGUAUUUACACACACAACGUGACAAAGUAUUAUGGAAUGUAUGUGCCGCGUUUAACGCAAUACAAUACAACUUUCAGCAACGGAUCUCUUGGCUCUCGCAUCGAUGAAGAACGCAGCGAAAUGCGAUAAGUAAUGUGAAUUGCAGAAUUCAGUGAAUCAUCGAAUCUUUGAACGCACCUUGCGCCCUUUGGCCAUUCCGAAGGGCAUGCCUGUUUGAGUAUCGUGAACCUUCAACUCCCCAUGGCUUGCCAUGAUGAGCUUGGACUUUGGAGGCUUGCUGGCUUUGUAGUCGGCUCCUCUCAAAUGAAUUAGCUUCCGCAGUGUUUGGUUGCAUCACAGGUGUGAUAACUGUCUGCGMUUGUGGUUUCUACCAGGAUGACCCCUGGUUUAAAAC